CGGGGCCAGGUCGGGCGGCCCGGGGCUCCGCGGGGGACGCGCGGCGAGGACGCGGGGCUCUCGGCACCCCUCUCCCGUAGCGGGGCCCUGCCCCGGCUCUUAGAAAGAGCAUUGGGCUCCGGGCCAGAGCGCCGUGGGGCCAGCGCCCCAGCCCUUAGUGAAUUGCUUCAUCUGCCACUCAUGUCCUGCGCCCUGGAAGCUGCAGAGAGAGCCUCGGCUCCCCGUGCAAGCGCUGGGCUGACAACUGACAGCGGCGACGCUUGGAAUGAGACGUCCAAGGGUUCAAGGGUCAACUCUUUCCUCCAGGCCUAGCAGAUCAUAGAUACUCCUUCUUCUUAAACUUAUUAAGGAAAAAGGCAGUCACUCAUGCCUUCCGCCAACAAAUAUUGACUGAGCACCUACUAUGCGCUAGACAUGCUGCUAGGCCUUGAGGAUGGAGGGGUGAAUGAGACAGGCAAAGCCUCAUGUUCUUUUGGUGGAGACAAGCAAUAAACACUUGAAUACACAUCUCAGACAAGAUAGUGCUGCAGAUGGUGAUGGGUGUCAGGGAGACUCCUCAUCACCUGAGGCAAGGGGAAAAGGCAUUGUGGGAGACGGGGGAGCUGUUCUAUUUGAGACUCAGUGGCCCCAGAGGAAGGGCUUCCUGGGACAGUGCCCUUUAAGCUGAGACCUGAGCAAAGCGUGAGAUUUAGCAAGGCAAUUUUCUAAGGGAAGGUUUUUUAGAUAAAGCAGACUGCAGGUGCAAAGUUCCCAGCCCUUGCUGGUAGAAUGAUCUCUCAGGCUCCUGAGCCCCCAAAGCACAAGAUUGCACCCCUUCCUCUGACAAGAGAGGAAGCGUGAAGCCCAGAUCUGGAGUCAGGCAGACCUGGCUUUACAUUCUGGCCCUGGUACUCACUAGCUGUGUGACCUUGCACACAUCACUUAGCCUCUCUGAGUGGUAGUUCCUGCGUCUGUCACAUGGGGAGAAUAAUGCUCUGUUCUUUACAGGUUUGUGUGAGGAUUCAAUGAAGUAACACCAAAAUGUUGCAAGCCCAGACUUGGGCAUCCUUAUGUGCUCAAACAAAUGAUCUCUGGGUUCCCUAAGAAGACCUCACCUUCUGCAUCUGAAAACUAGGUCUCUCUGACUCGGAGUGAAAAGCGAAUUUACCUUUCCCCAUCCUGGUGGCAACGAGGGGGCCCAUGGUAGAACUGUGCGCAGCUUGGACAAACUCUGGGAGAGGGGUCCCAGCUGGGGUUUCCUGUUGGACGCCCUUUGGAACUCAGAGCCCCGUUGACAGGAGGAGAGAGGAGCAGUUGAUUGGACAGCUCCCCACCCAGCCAGCCACACUAUCCGAGUCUCAGGCAUUUGGUGGAGUUCAGAGAGGAGGCCUCCAGCAAGCCCAGGUCAGGGCCAAGCUGUCACACUGGUGAGGUUCAUACUUCACAUUCUCACCCUCUUCCCCAGGCUUCCCCUCCCUGCCUCCUUUGCUAAACUUGCCCUUCCUUGAGAAAGGACGGGAGCUCAGUCGCUUUACAGCGACUAAGAGAGGAUGUCAGUCUUUGGAGAUACUCCUUCAUUUGACAUGUGGGGAAUCUGAAGCCCAGAGAUGGCAGGGCUUUGCCAGAGGCUACACAGCAGUCCUGAGGAUGAGAAUUCAUGUCAGAGACCCUUGAUCUAGGGCUGUUUCUCUAUGGUACUUCAUAGCCUAGUUCUGCCCAUUUUACAGAUGGAACAAACUGGGGCCCAAAACUGUGACAUAAGCCAGCAAAGGCUUCCCAGGCCAACAUUAGCAAUGAGGAAUGAGGAAUGUACUUUAGGCAGGGGUUGGGGGGAAUGGGAUCCUUCCAGGACCCCUCCAAUUAUUCGUAGACCCACCUGCUUUGAAGAUGAUCUCUGCCUCCCCUCUCCGCCCAGGGAAAAGACAUCUGGAGAGAUCUGUAGCUAUCAGCUCCCCUUUGUCACCCAGGAAUCCUAAAUCUCCCUAUCCUGACAGAUCAGCCCAGCUGGGGCCCAGAUCCACAUUGGUGCCCUUGUCUGUCUGGCUCCCGUGAGAGCUGGCUAUGAUGGUUGUGCACCUGGAGGCCACUAAGGUCAGGGUGGGCACCGCCUCACUCUGCUCCAGGGCUCUAGACCAAUGCCUAGGUAGGAGCUUUUUCUCAAGACUCGGACAUCAACAGCCAGGCCUGGCAUCAAAAGCCUCUCCUCACCUGCAUGUUUGCUGCCAGCUGCUCUGAGGGGUUGCGUUUCAUUUGUUCAUUAGCUCAUUCAUUCAUUCUUUCUUGCAUUCAAUAUCUCUAGAGAACCUGCAAGGUGCCAGGCACUGCCCCACACAUUGAAGGUAGAGCAGCAAACAAGAUGGUGGGGCCCUGCCUCCUGGAGCUCACUUUCUGGGGUGGGGAGACAGGCAGUAAAUCAAUAUACACAAGACAGAAGGUCAGAUGGAGGUAUCAAGGUGAGGCGGUGGUGCAUGAUGGGGGUGUUCUUUUAGACCAGGUAGUUGAGCAGCGGCCAUGAAAAAGUGGGGGUAGCGGGUCGGGGGUUCCUUGCUGAUGUCUGGGGGAGAAAUUUAGAAAGAGGGGCCUGUAAGUGUCAAGGCCAUGAGGGAGAAACAUGCCUGGUGUUUUGGGGGAUAGCAAGGAACGCAGUGUGGCUGGAGUGAGGGGGACAGAUGAGCGCGUGGGCAGGGAUGAGACUGGAGAAGGGAGGGGCCGCACAGUGGGGGGGUGGGCGGAUGGGGGACCCUCAAGGCACCGAGCUGCCCCACUUAUUCCGUGUCAGCCUCUGUCCAGCCCCUGCCUUGGGUGGCACCGUGCUGUCCCAGGCAGCGUGGACAUCAGGAGCUCAUUACAGAGCAGGCUGUCUGAGGGGCUUCUCUGCUUCUGCCACAUCCUCACACCCCUUUCACCUGUCCUAAAAGGCAGGAUGAAAAGGAUGAGAGAGGAAGCUGGCCUCCUGUGAGAAGAUGCUGGACUCAGAAAUCUUUGAAUUCUAGGCUUCACCUCUGAGUGACUGCAUGAACUUGGAAGAGCUACUUAAACGCUCUGAACUUCCGUUUCCAUAUCUGGCUAAAUAUACUGGCAGCACAAAUAGCUAUGAAAGCUAAGGGUCCACCACCCCCUGACCCAGCAGGUACACUCCUAGCUACAGACCCAAGAGAAAUGAGCACACGUGUCCAAAAGGCACGGACAAGGUGUUCGUGGGGGUUGUUCACAAUGGCCCCAAAUGAGUCAACCCUGAGGCUCAUCAUCAGAAGAAUGGCUGAAGCCGUGUGGGAUAGUUGUAGAGUGGAAUAUUUCAUAGCAACAACAUAAUGAAACUGCUGAUAGAUGCAGCAACGUGGAAGAAUCUGACAUUUUGUUGAGUGAAAGAAGCCAGACACACAAGAAUAGGAGCUGUGUGAUUCCAUUAAGCCGAAUUCAAUAACAGGUGAGGCUAGUCUGUGGUGAGAAAGGUCAGGAUAGUGGUUACCCUUGGGGGUGCUGACUGGGAGGGGGACUGAGGGAAGCUUCUGGCAUGUUGGAAGUGGUUUAUAGCCUUUUUUUUUUUUUUUUUUUGAAAUGGAGUCUGGCUCUGUUGCCCAGGCUGGAGGGCAGUGACACCAUCUCGGCUCACUGCAACCUCCGCCUCCCAGGUUCACGCAAUUCUCCUGUCUCAGCCUCCCGAGUAGCUGGGACUACAGGCGCCCAGCACCAUGCCCAGAUAAUAUUUGUAUUUUUAGUAGAGAUGGGGUUUCACCAUAUUGGUGAGGCUGGUCUCGAACUCCUGAUCUCAGGUGAUCUGCCUGCCUCAGCCACCAAAAAUUCUGGGAUUACAGGUGUGAGCCACCACGCCUGGCUGGAAGUGGUUUAUAUCUUGAUUCUAGUUGGUAUCACAUGGGUUUAUACCUAUGUGAAAAUUCAUUAAGCUUGAGCUCAUCAAAUAAUUUGAGAUUCAUGCAAGUUGUACCAGACGUAUGUUAUAUUUCAAUAAAAAGGUGUUUCAAAAUGCCUAGCGAGCUGGUGAAGGAUAAAUGGGAUUGAGAAUGUAGCUAUGCCUGCCUCAAAAUAGGGCCUUGUGAAUGUUCCUGCCUCCCUAGUGCCACUCUGAGGGACAAGGGGUGCCCUCCAGCAGCCAGGCUUUGUCUAGACUGUUUUGACAUCAACUGCCAUCGACUGCUGUGACCACCGUGACAGAGCACCAGCCAGGGUCAGGUGAUAUUGUGCUGUGCUGUUGGGUUUUGUUUUGUUUUGUUUUGUAUUUUUUUGUUUUUGCUUUAUUUUUUCUGUUGCUUUGCUUUGUGAUGAGAAAAUUAUUGUGCUUAUCAUCAUUAAUUUUAUUUAUUUAUUUUUGAGACUACAGUCUCGCUCUGUCACCCAGGCUGGAGUGCCGUGGCGCAAUCUCAGCUCACUGCAACCUCCGCCUCCCAGGUUCAAGCAAUCUUCCUGUCUCAGUCUCCCAAGUAGCUGGGAUUACAGGCACGCACCACCCAUGCCCAGCUAAUUUGUGUGUGUGUGUGUGUGUGUGUGUGUGUGUGUGUGUGUGUGUAUUUUUAGUAGAGACAGGGUUUUGCCAUGUUGACCAGUCUGGUCUCGAACUCCUGACCUCAGGUGAUCCACCUGCCUUGGCCUCCCAAAAUGCUGAGAUUACAGGCAUGAGCCACUAUGCCCAGCUGCUGAUUAUCAUCAUUCAAUGACGCAGCUUGCUAGCGUUCAGGUCCCCAGGCCUGGUGUGUGCAGCAGAGACCCUGGAGUGGGGAGCCAUCCCCUCCCUUUACAGAGGGGCAAGGUCCACCAGAGAUGAGCUUGGGAGCCUUGGGUUCACCCAACAAUGGAGUGGCAAUCCCCACCCCCAGCCUCCCUUGGCCCACAUCCCCAGUGCCCCCAGGAUCAACUGGCUGCACCACUUAUGCCCUUCCACCCUGCCCCAAAGUCACUGCCCCAGGCCCAGAGUGGGGAGUGAUGUCCCCAAGGCAAUAUGGGAAGUCUGCAGCAGAGCCAGGCUAGGCCAGGGGAGGCAGGGAGAUGAGAGGCUGAAGGCCUGGGCCACCUAGGCCACCUUGGCACCAGCCAAGCUUCCCCCUCGAGCCCAGGUGGGGAGGCCCUUCCUGAGCAAAGGCUAGGGGUCUGUGUCCUCUCUCAGCUCUGAAGAAGUGGUACAGUUAUAAGAUUAACGAGAGGAGUACUUUUAUCAUCAGCUCAGCAUCGGGUGGGCAUCCAUUGUACCCCUGUCUGCCAGGUACCAUGUAGGGUAAACCCUGCCGCCUAAGCCUAAGCCCCUCCUAUCUCAGGGUUACAAUCUGGGGUCCCCACUCUUCUUUUGGCCACUCCUUCUCACUUACCAUGGAAAUACCCCAGACCCAUGAGACGGGUGGCCCAAGGGAAAGAUUCCAGAGGUGAACGUGACCCAGCCCAGGAACUGAUCUUCCCUCCCUUCUCGCCAGCCUUCAGGUGUCAUUUUCAAUGUCACCUCCUCAGGAAGACCUCCCCUGGCUGGCCUCCCCUCCGACCCCUGCCUGAUCCAGCCUGUGGCUCCUUCCUUCUUCACCGCCUUGAUCACUCCCUGUGGUCUUCUAGUCAUUGGCCUGAUUCUUGGGCUAGAGUCUGCUCCCCUGCUUGAGUCUGGAAACUCCUUGGAGGCAGGAGCUGUGUCUAUUUUAUUCCCCACUGGGUGUCCAAUGGCUGUAUGAGGGAUGAAGGCAUGAUGCUGAAGAACCGCUCUGAAAGGGAUGCAGACACUGAGGGGAGCCACAGCCAGAGAAGGGAAGGAAGGGUUAGUUUUGGGGUGCGUGGUGUUUGGGGCUGAGCCUGUAUGGUUGCAGAGGGUUCAGGGAAAGCUGGCUGGGAUGGGGUUUACAGGAGAGGGCUGGAGGCCCUGCGAGAGUGUAACCUGGACACCUGGAGAUGCCAGGCCCUUCCUCUAUGAGCUGAAGGUCCCUGAUCUUGGUGAGAGGCCCGGCUGAAACCUCUGGCCAGGGGCCCUGUGUAGGGGAAGGCAGUUCCUGGGUCCACAGGACCCAGCCUGGGUGCCUACUCUCUGCUGUCCAUAGGACUCCCAGUCCAGCCGGGAGAGGCGCUUCUCCUCCCUGGGGAGGGUAGGCGGCCCAGGCCUUUUCCAUCAGUCACACUGGCCCUCCCAUUAGGGCUCUCCCUUGGUGCUUCUAUUUCUAGGAGUUCCCUGUGAGCCUCCAGCCCUCUCCCUGGCUGUGUGACCCAGAGAAGCCCUCCAGCCCUUAGAGAGGGUCACACAGAGAGGGAGAGGCAGAGUUGGGACUAACUCUAGGCCAGGACCUCCAGCUCCACCUCCACCAGGUGCAAGGUCCUUAUUCAGGCUGGCUGCCACAGGGUGGCCCCAGCAGCAGGUCCCACGUUCUCACUGUGGUUCAGCCAGGAGCCCAGCAUUCCCACACUGCCCAGGGGGGACUGCCGUUGUCAGGGGCAUCUUCCCUGGCAGUGCCCACGGCCCCACACCUGAACCUGAGUUCAGGGCGCUGAGAGUGCUGGCUUCAGGAAAGCCUAUUCUCUGGGUGUCUGCAAGGGUCUCUUCUGACACCCCCAUGAGACUGGGUCUUCCCCAGAGCAGGGCCUGUGCCUCCUCCAUCAGACUGGAGACUCCUUAUUCACAGGCCCCUCAAGCUUCAACUCUCCAGUCCUGUGGCACUGAAUCUCACUCCAGGAUCCCCCAACACCCUCAAGGCUGGCAAGAUACAUCCUCAUGCACCUCCUACUCCAGGCCAGGCCUCUCCGCAGGCUGGGGGUGGAGGCCUGGCCUGGGUCAGGUCGGGGUGCGGGGGACAGAUCUUCCAGCCCCCUCUCCCUGGAAGGUCCUUGUGAUCAUGGACCAUAUCUUAUUUGUUCCUGCAUCCCCUGUGCCUAUUGCAGAGACUGGCAUAGAGUGGGCUCUGGUGACAUGAACAAGGAGGAUGUAUAGAAGGUGACUUGGGAUGUUCUCUGAGGGGAUCCAGAAAGAAGUUCCAGGCCUCCAUAUCCCCAUCUCCGACAGCUCCCCAGGAGCCACAGUCUGGAAUUCCACUGAGGGAGAUAUGUCUUUGACAUUCUCUUCCUGGGAAUAAUUCAGAGGGUUCAUUUACUGCACUCAGGCCCGGAGGCUUUAGGGACUUUUGAGUCAGGAAACCGGGGUGGAAACCUGGGUGCUGGGAGAUCUGGGCAGGGACGGGUGUGCCAGCCUGCUCCUCAGCCUCCAGUGGGGAAGGGGUGAGCCCCCAGGGUGGGACUGAUCUCCAGACAGGCUUGCGCUGCAGGAGCCCUUGGGGCCUGUGGGAAUAGCGGGGCCUCUGACAGACGCUUUAUCAGGCCCUGUCGCCAGCGUUAUCUGCGGCUUCUCAGCAAAGAAGGAGCUACAGUCACUCAGACCACUCCAGGCCGGGAACAAAGCAGCCGAGUCAGCUGGCGUCCCAUGGCUCUACUGCCAGACCCGUGGGCUCGGCAGCCUGUGCCCCAAGCUGGGUGUUCAAGGAGGUGGCUGGCCCAGCCAGGCGACAGCCCGUCUGCUGGGACUCCCCCGCCAAGAGCCCGCCGUCACUGGGACCACCUCCCUUGAGCCUAUCUUCAGAAGGGGGAUGGGGCAUGGGGUCACUCCAGUCCUUCCAGGGCCCUGCUGAAAUGUCAGCCACAAAGGAUGGGACACAGAGGGGCCUGUCCAGGAACAAGGGCCAAGUGUCGGCGUGGGAUGAGGGCUGGGGCAGGGCUGGUCAAAUGUUUACUUGGAAUGAUUUGAGUGGGCACCCUCAGGCCACGGGGGCAGCUGGCGCCUGGCACGGAGCCCCUGUACCCACUCCCAUGGGGCACUGCAAGGAUUCAGGCCCACCCCAGAUGGGGCCUGAAUGAGAAAGCACCCAGAGAGGGCAGCCAGCCAAGUCCUGGGCAUGGUCCUUCUCUGCCAGUCUUUGCCCUCUGUUGGGGAGAAGCAGGAGCUGGGAAGGCCAGCUCCUCUCAUUCAGGAAGCACCUGCUUCUCUGGUCUGCAGGGCUGCCAGGAAUGGUUGGGCAGGUCACGCACUGCAAAAGGGCACCUUGUCGCUGAAAUAAGUGGAUCUGAAAUUUGUGCAAUGCAGUAAGGGGCUGAUUUAGCCCAGAGGCUGCUUUUUGGCAAUUUUCUGCUAGGAGAGGGCGCCAUUGCAUACCGGGCACUGGGGAUGACAACAUGGUUCUUUUGGUAGGAGCUCACAGGGUUUUCGGGGGAGGGUUGCCAGAUGUAAUACAGGAUGCCCAGUUGGAUUUGGGUUUCAGAUAAACAACGAAUAUACAUAUAUAAAAUAUGGGAUAUUAUAAACACUAUAUAUGUAAUGCUUUUAGUAUAAGUCCCAUGCAUUAUUGCAAUGUCUGAAGUGUCAUGAGGGACACCUCCCCCCAGUACGUAGGGUUAGGGCCCUGGGGCCAUGCGGGAGGCUGAGCAGCCGGGCAGUGUGGCUGCAGAGGAGCCUGAGAGGCAACAGGGACAAGAUGGAGUGUGGCCUUGAAGUGCCGGGAGUGAGCGGGGCCAGGCGGGGUUGUGAAUGGGACGCGCACCGUGGCAGGCUCCCUCUGGCGGCCGUGUGGAGAACAGGCUGCAGGGCGCCGCGGAAGAGGCCACCCCGUGAGGAGCCCAGAGCGCUGGGCCCCGGGCAGGGAGCGUGGAGCUGGAGAGAAACGGCUGACUCUAGACAUCUAAACUUUUUAUGAUGGAGAACGGUAAACGUAUACAAAUGUAGUGAGACGAGGCACGCCCAUGUCCUCAUGACCCGCGUCAACCAUCAUCAGCUCAUGGCCAAUUAUGUUUCAUAUAAACCUCUCACCCCUCCCAGCAACGGGAUUAUUUUGAAGCAAAUCCCAGACUUCAUAUUAUUUCAUCCAUAAAAAUGUCAGUAUAUAUCACUAAAAGAUAAGGCCUGGAUGUAUUUUGAAGCUGGAGCCACCAGGAAUUUGCCCGGAGCCUUCAAGCAGCUAUUAAGAGGGAGGGGCCCCCACCCCAGGAAGCUCCACACUGUGCAGUUAGUUCCCUGCUCUUCUGACCACCUCUCCUAAAGCUUUCUAGUUUUUUUCUCCCUGGGACAAGUCUUCCUAGGCCUGAGCCUCUUCUCUCCCUGCUCCUGACUGUGCACCCUCCUUAAGGAUGCCCCUUGGGCUGUGGUCUUGGACUCUCCAGAGCCUCCUUCCCCGAGUUCAGAGCGCCCACAGCCCUUUCCACUUCGUAGUCCCUUGAAAACAGGAUUGCCUCAUGUCUAGGCCUUCAAAGAUGACCCGUCCUGGGAACUCAGGACAGGCAGGCACCCUGGUGAAUGAGAGGAGAGCUCACAGGAAGUCACAGAACGAGGGACAGGGACACAGAUUCAAACGUGAAGAUACUACUAAGUGCAGAGGAGGCUCUUUGCUCUCCAGAAGGCCACCUCCUCCAGGAAGCCGUCUGGCUCUGCCUCCCUGGGAGAUUUUGAGUAGGUCACUUGCCCUCUCCCGGCCUGAGACAGGAACCGGUUCCUCACACAGAGCUUCUCCCUUCUCUCCCUCCUCUCAGAUUCUGCACCUGUAAAGUCCCUGGGACGGGAGGAGCUGAGGGGCAAACUGGACUCGGAGAGAAACUGCCAGGCCUCUAACUUCCGACAGGCAUAGUAACCCCACUUUACAGGAGAGGAAGGUGAGGUGGGAGAGGUAAAGUGACUUGAAGGGUCCGCCAGUGUGCAGGGCGCACAACCAGGAUUUGAGGGCAAAGCCAAACCCUCAGCCCUGGGCCCCAGGUGCCAGCCAGCUUUCAAGGGCCCACAUCUCUGGGCAGAAUCCGGCUCCGCGGUCCAAAUCCCGCAACCCCGCUACCUCCCAGCCUCCCCCAGCAGCUCUGGGAGGCCAGCGCCUCCCUCCUCAUUUCAUUUUACUCUGGCCCCCUUCUGUGGGCUGGGCACAGUGGGCACCAGACACACCACGCUUUUCUCUCAUUCAAUCCUCGCGGCAGCUCAGUGAGGGACCGUCCCCAUUUCACAGAAGGGGAAACGGACACUCCGACAGGCUCCAGGAGCUGCCCAGGGCCACACAGCUCUGCAGUAUAGGAGUCAGGAUGGAGACCGGGUCCUUUGACGGCAGGUGCUCCUUCCACUGUGUCGCAAGAACCUGCUUAGAACAGUCACCCAGUCUGAGGACCCGAGACUGCGUGCUCGUCCUGGCUUCAGCCAGCAUUUCUUGUUUUUUCUUUUCUUUUCUUUUCUUUUCCUUUUUUUUUUUUUUUUUUUUUUUAGAUUGAGUCUCUCUCUGUUGACCAGGCUGGAGUGUAGUGGCGCGAUCUCGGCUCACCGCAACCUCCCCCUCCCGGGUUCAAGCGAUUCUCCUGCCUCAGCCUCUCGAGUAGCUCCGGGACUACAGGCACCCGCCACUACGCCCAGCUAAUUUUUGUAUUUUUAGUAGAGACGGGUUUCACCGCGUUAGCCAGGAUGGUCUCGAUCUCCUGACCUCUUGAUCCGCCCGCCUUGGCCUCCCAAAGUGCUGGGAUUACAGGCGUGAGCCACCGCGCCUGGCCUUCUUGUUUUUUCUUACAAAUAACUCCUUUAUCGUGUUUCACCCACGUGCUCACACUUGAUCUUCCUAAAACCCACGCGAGGCAGGUCUGAUGAUAGUUCGACUUUUAUGGGCGAAGUGCCACAAGAGACCAGCCAGGGUCGGGGACCUUGUUCUUAAACUUUCCAGAUUGUCCCCAGGCUCGCGUCGCUCCCGGGAACGGCCAAUGGACGCUUGUGUUCUUCCAGCGCCCCCUACAGCCUUGCAAUGGCAUUAAAUCACCCUGCCGGACCAGUUACUUUUGCUUGAAAAGUUUUCUUUCUUCUCAAUACUUCGCUGCUGACUCUGGGCUUUUCCCUUACAAGUUUGGUUUAUUUAUUUAUUUAUUUAUUUUUGAGACGGAGUCUCGCUCUGUCGCCAGUCUGGAGUGCAGUGGCGCCAUCUCAUCUCACUGCAACCUCCGCCUCUCGGGUUCAAGCGAUUCUUCCGCCUCAGCCUACAGAGUAGCUGGGACUACAGGCGCGCGCCACCACGCCCAGCUAAUUUUUGUAUUUUUAGCAGAGACGGGGUUCCACCAUGUUGGCCAGGGUGGUCUCUAUAUCUUGACCUCGUGAUCCGCCCACCUUGGCCUCCGAAAGUGCUGGGAUUACAGGCGUGAGUCACCGCGCCCAGUCUUUUUUUUUUUUUUUUUUUAGAGACAGGGUCUUGCUCUGUCUCCAGGCUGGAGUGCAGUGGCACGAUCAUAGCUCGCUGCAGCUCAACCUCCCGGGCUCAGGCGAUCCUCUUGUCCCAGCCUCCCAAGUAGCUGGGACUGCAGCCCCGUGCCACCAUGCCCGGCUUCCCCUCACAAGUUUGGACCCACCUCGUCCCUCCUUGCUCAACAUAUUUAGCAAUAGUUAAAGCAUGUUUAUUUUCUGUAACUUCGUCUUCAGGAAAGUAAGAUAUAAUAAAGGCUUAACCAACUGGGGAGGUCGUCAGGCUUGAGAAUCACAAGGCGUGUGGAUCGCCACCAGCCUGGGAACUUUAAGGGGUGAGGUCUGUGUUCCCCCAUCGUCCUAGACCAAGGCUGUCCCAGGAAAGGGACUGUGUCUCCCUCAGGCUCCCCUGCCCCCCACAUCUCGAUGAGGCUCUUCAGAGCAAUGACAGGGGCAGUGAGUGGGGAAGAGGUGUCUUCUGGCCUCUGCUUACACCUUGCGGUGGGUGACACCCUGUGCCUGCAACAGAGGAGGGGAGUCCUGUGUUCCCUGAGGCUCGGGCGGAGAUUAGAAAGAGCCAGAAAGACCUGGCAGGUGCAGCCUGGGGCUCUCUCUGCACAUACAGGCCUUUCUCAGAGCCCAGAGGAACUUGAACCUGGGCAGCCGUGUGAGUGAAUCUUUCUGAGGGGGGCAUAUUUGAGUGGAAGACUGCCGUUCCAGGAGGCAGGAGCCUGGGACGGCAUUCACUGGGGAAGGGGGAGGGGCCAGGAGAGGAGAGCGGGAAAGGCCAGCCCAUGUCAAAGGUCCCAUGGUACCCAGGUCUCCACUCUGAAUGUCCUGCCGCCCACUGGUCACCCCAACCCUGAGGUCCUGCAGGUUCCUCAACCCCCAUCUCCAACAUUCCCGCCCACACCUCCCCCUCCUUCUGGGUUACUCCUCUUGGUUCAUUCAUUCAUCAGGCAUUCGACUAACACCUAGCUGAUCAUUUAUCAAGUGCCAGGUGUAUUUUGUUUGUUUGUUUGGUGGGAGUUUAUUGAAGUAUAAUUUACAUAUUGUAAAAUUAACCCUUUUUUAACGUACAGUUAUAUGGGAUCUGACAAAUUUUUAACAGAUGUGUAAACACUGCCACAAUCAAGAUAUAGAAUAUUUCCAUCAACCCAGAAAAUUCUUUCCUGCUCCUUGUAGUCAACCCCUCCUCCCACCUCCAGCCUCAGACAACCUCUGAUCUGUUUUCUGUCUCUAUAGUUUUGCCUUUUCCAGAAUGCCAUGUACAUGAAAUCAUACAGCACAUAAUCUUUUUAAUCUGACUUCUUUUGCUGGGCAUCAAUGCUUUUGAGAGUCAUCUAUGUGGUUGCAUGUAUUCAUAGUUGUUCCUUUUCAUUGGUGAGAUGGACUGCAGUGUAUAGGUAUAUACUACAAUAUAUUUUUCUAUUCACCAGAUGAUGAGCAUUGAGUUGUUUCUAGUUUUUGGCAAUUAAUAAUGCUACAGUAAACAUUCAUGUGUAGGUUUUUGUGCAAACAUAAAUGUUCAUUUUUCUGGGAUAGACGCCUAGAAGUGGAAUUGUGGGGUCUUAUGUAAAUGUAUGUUUCACUUGAUAGAAAUCUGCCAAAUUCUGGCCGGGCGCGGUGGCUCACGCAUGUAAUCCUAGCACUUUGGGAGGCUGAGGCAGGCAGAUCACUUGAGGUCAGGAGUUCGAGACCAGCAUUGCCAACAUGGUGAAACCCUGUGUCUACCAAAAAUAAAAAAAUUAGCUGGGUGGUAGUGGCGCGCACCUGUAAUCCCAGCUACUUGGGAGGCUGAGGCAGGAGAGUCUCUUGAACACAGUGGGGUUGGAGGUGGAGGUUGCAGUGAGCCGAGACUGCGCCACUGCACUCCAGCCUGGGUGACAGAGUAAGACUCUGCCAAAGGAAAAAAAAAAAAAAAGAAAGAAAGAAAGAAAAAAAGAAAAAGAAAUAUGCCAAAUUCUUAUUCAGAAUGGCUGUACCAUCUCCAAAGCCAUAAUAACCUCUGAAGUUUAAAUUUUAAUUUGAGUGUCUUGAAAAAUACCAGGAAGAAUCUUAUUCCUAACUGGAAGCAUCACUGUUUUGGGCAAAUGAAAGUUUUCCCUUCACUAGGGUAGCUGCUGGGUGUGGAAGUGAUGGCUUGUACAUUAAGCAUAUUCUAUAAAAACUGCCAAACCAUUUUCCAAAGUGAAAGGAGGAUUGCUUGAAUUUAGGAUUUCAAGUCCAGCCUAGGCAACAUAGUGAGAGCCUCAUCUCAAACAAAAAAAAAAUGCAAAAGUAGGAAUGCAAAAGUACUAGAGCUUUUGCAUUCCUCUAGUAAUGUUUGCAUUUUGAUUUUUCCACAUCUUUAUCAGGUGCUAGUCUUUAAAAAUGUUUUAUUAUGAAAAUUGGUAAUAUCUGCAAAAGUAGAAAGAAUAGUAUUAAUAUAAUGGGUCUCCGUGUGCUCAUCACCAGUUUCGUCAAUUACCCUUUCAUGGCUUAUCUUUUUUUUUUUUUUUUUUUUUUUUUGAGGUGGAGUUUCACUCUUGUUGCCCUGGCUGGAGUGCAAUGGUGCAAUCCCGGCUCACAGCAACCUCCACCUCCCGGAUUCAAGCGAUUCUUCUGCCUCAGCCUCCUGAGUAGCUGGGAUUACAGGCAUGCGCCACCAUGCCUGGCUAAUUUUAUAUUUUUAGUAGAGACAGGGUUUUUCCAUGUUGGUCAGGCUGGUGUCUAACUCUGGACCUCAGGUAAUCUGCCCACCUCAGCCUCCCAAAGUGCUGAGUGCUGAGAUUACAAGAGAUUACAAGCAUGAGCCACCGCACCCAGACUUUUUUUUUUUUUUUUUUUGACAGGGCCUCACUCUGUCACCCAGGCUGGAGUGCAGUGGCAUGAUAUCAGCUCACUGCGGCCUCAACCUCCCAGGCUGAAAGGAUCCUUCUGCCUCAGCCUCCGGAGUAGCUGGGACUACAGGUGCCACCACACCUGGCUUUUCAUGGCUUAUCUUGUUUCAUCCCCUGCUCUCCCACAAUGACCAAGUUACUUCUGAAGCGAAUCCUAGAUGUCGUAUCAUUUCAUUCCUAUUCAAUAUUAUGUCUAAAAGACAUGGAUUCCUUUUCUUUGUUUGUUUUGCUUUUGAGAUGGAGUUUCACUCUUGUUGCCCAGGCUGGAGUGCAAUGGUGCGAUCUUGAUUCACCGCAAGCUCCACCUCCCGGGUUCAAGCCAUUCUCCUGCCUCAGUCUCCCGAGUAGCUGGGAUUACAGGCAUGUGACACCACACCUGGGUAAUUUUGUAUUUUUAGUAGAGACAGGGUUUCUCCAUGUUGGUCAGGCUGGUCUCGAACUCCCGACCUCAGGUGAUCCACCUGCCUCGGCCUCCCAAAGUGCUGGGAUUACAGGCGUGAUCCACCAUGCCCGGCCAUGGAUUCCUUUUUUAAAAAGCCACAAUACCCUUAUCACAUAUAAAAUGUGUGCCAUUAUCACUCUUCCUAUCAUGAACUCUCCAGUCAGUGCUCACAUUUCCCAGUGUCUCAUGAAUGUCAUCAUUUCUCUUUUUUCAACUUGUUUGUUUGAAUCAGGAUACAAAUAAGGUCACUGUGUUCCAAUUGGUUUAUGUGUCUUUAAGUUACUUUGUUUGAAAGUCAUUUGGAAUAGUUUUUCUCUUUGUGGUAUUAAAGUAAAUUAAAAUGAAGACCAGGCCUAAAGAAUCCCUGAGCAAACAAAACCAGUUAGGCUCAGAAGUAGCCAACAAACUUAUAAUUAUAUAAUGAGGGACUUUCCUAUGGGAUAGAUUAAAUAAGGCAACUGUAUAACUGUAACCAAUCAAAUAUUUUCUUUGCUUUACUUCUGUGUUCCUUGUAUAAAAACCCAUCCCUUGUGUUCCCUCACUUCUGGUUUGGAACUGCCCAAUUCAUGAAUUGUUGUUUGCUCCUAUAAAUUCUUUAAAAUUUUAUUGUGCCUCAGUUUACUUUUUUCUUAUUUUUAGAGACAGGGUCCAGAUCUGUUACCCAGGCUGAAGUGCAGUAGCAUGAUCUUAGCUCACUGCAGCCUCAAAUUCCUCAAUCCUCCUGCAUCAGCCUCCUGAGAAGCCAGGACUACAGGUGCACAGCAGCACACCUGGCUAAUAUAUAUAUUAGAAACAGGGUCUUGCUAUGUUCCCCAGGCUGGGCUAGAGCUCCCAGCCUCAAGUGAUCCUCCUGCCUCAGCCUCCUAAAGUGCUGGCAGAGGUGAGCCACUGGGCCUGGCCUCAGUUUAAUUUGAAUGGUGGUUAAAUAAUUAAUUCAAUGUGUAGAUUUAUUUGCUUUAUUUUACUUUAGGUUUUUAGAAUUUUUAAAGCUUUUUAUUUAGAAAUUUAUUUAAAGAUUUUAAAUUUUAUUUCUGGUUCCAAAAUCUAUCAUACAAAUAUAUCCAGAAAGGUCUAGCUUUUAUGCCCCUUUCAAUCCUUUCCCUUCCCCAUAACUAUUAAUUUUUAAACAUUAUUCUUUAUUAUUACAUUAAUUUAAUAUGUAUCACAUACAUAAUGCAUAUGUAUUCGUAUCCCUCCCUCCUUUUUUUUUUUUUUUGUUUGAGAUGAGGAUCUCACUAUGUUGCCCAGGCUGGACUUGAAAUCCUAAAUUCAAGCAAUCCUCCUGCCUCAACCUCGAGUAGCUGGGACUACAGGUAUACGCCUCCACGUUUGGCUCUUCCUUCCUUUUAGUAGGGGCUGCUGUCAUGCAAGGAGGUCUGGCAGUGGAGGAAGAAGACAUGAGCCUUGGGCCAGACUCUUACUGGAUUCCCACCCCACCUGCCCCGUCUUCAGCAGACAAGCUGGUACCCAGCACAAAGGCUCCAGCUGCUGAGCUGUGUGUGGGAGCCUGGUCUCUGGGUGCCCAGAAUGAAGGGUCAGACCCAGGUCACUGCCUGACUCUUUCUUUCAAGGACCGAAGUAAGAACUACAGGCCUAACAGUAACAUCCCUGGCUAUUUGUAGAAGUCCGCUUGGUCGGUCCAUGCUCUAUAACAUGAAUUUCUCAUACAACCCAUUUUUAGAUGGGGAAACAAGAGCUCAGAGAGGCUAGGUAACUUGUUCAAGAUCACACAGCUCUGAGUGCAAGUGUUCAAACAUAGUCCCCACUUUCCAUCCGUCUCCAAAUCCUGUGCAGUUUCUGGAAUAUUCUGCUGUCACUGUGCCUUGCACAAAUCCAGGUUUUGAUAAAUUCCUGGAUAAUAAAAGGCAGACAUGAGUCAACAUAUAACCAGCUCUUUCUCUUUGACUUCCAUAUUGCCCCAGGCCCACACGCGGACCUCUGCAUGAGGGAAGAGUGACAGAACUGGGUUUGUCUGAGAGGGUGAUGGCUCGGGGGGCCAAAGGGAGAGGUGAACCCUGCAUCCCAGGAGGGGUGAAUUCUCUGAUGUGAAUCAUCUGGGUGGUAGGGAGUAAUGGGUCCUGGGCAUGGUGGGGACUGUCACACCCUGAUGCGCUGUCCCAGUUAGGUUGGAGGAGGCUGGGAGGGCCAUCUGACCACAAUGCAGGUCUGUUGCGGACCUCAAGGAGCCUGCAGGGAGUGCAGCCACCUCAGGCACACACCUUGGUGAUAGAUUUUACUGCUCAGCUGCUGAAGCCAUUGGUCAAUGAUGCUCCUCACAGUCAGAGAUCUGAGAGGGGCAUUUUCACAGCCACCACAGACCUUCUGCCUCCCAGGGCCUCCUCACUGGCCUGGCCUGGAGGACUGCCACUGGCACCCACAGUUAGAGGGAAGGAAGUUUCAGGCCUCUGUAACCCAGGAGAGAAGUCCACUAGUCCAGUCCAGGCCAGGUGUCCAGCUCUGGUGGGUGGAACCAUUUGCCCAGCUGUCCUUUGGCUGAGGGUUGGGGCCUGACCUCUGAAGUGAAGGCACCCACAGAGCUGGCCAUUGAGGCAAAUGUCCAGAAUCCUGGGGCAUGGGCACCGGCAGGGGAGAUGAGGUCAUGUGAGAUGUAGGUGCCACUCUCUUGCAGAACCCACCCUCGCACCUUGGCACACAGUGGCUCCACGAGGCCAAGAGCUGGUCUCUUGUUUAUCUGGGUGUAGGGCGUGCACACUGCCUGGAACUGACAGUGUCAGGGACUUCUGCUGGCCAGGACAGACCCCAUGCCUACUCAAUGGCCAUCAGCCCUAGGGCAGCAACAUCAGGAUCUGUCUUCCCCAUUGGUCAGGGGGCUUGUGGUAGGUUCAAACCACUGAUGGCAAGCAGUCCAGGCUCUAGUGUUGGUUUGGGGUCUGGCUCUCUCACUAACCUGAGCAAGUCCCUUACAUCCCCAGGGCUCAGUUUCCUUAUCUGUUGAGUAGAGAUCAUCACACUGAUGGCGAAGAGGCCUUGUGGUAUGGAGGGUUUGGGUUCAACUUUUUUUUUUUUGAGCUGAUUUGAAUCCCAUUUCCCUGGUUAUUUGCUAUAUGGCCUUAGGCAAGUUACUCAAUCUCUUGAAGACUCAAUUUCCCAUCUACAAAAUGGGAGUGAAGAAGAAUCUCUUCUUCUUUCCAAGAAAUGUACAUGUGAGGAUUCAAUAAGGGAACGCUCAGGCAGCUCUGAGCACAGCAUCUGGAGCGUCACUGCGAUGUGGCAGCACGCUCUGCAGCAUGCAGGACAGACACACUCCUUCCUCUCUCCUCCUUCACCUCUUCCCCAGCCCCACCCCUCACAUCUCCUUGGCUAAUGGGUCAAGCAGUGGUCAGUGUCUGGCCAACAGUGGAGACUCAACCAUGCACAGAGAGUGAAAAUGCAGUGCGCACCUCCUGUCCAGGUAGCCCCAACCUCAUUCAUUCACUUCCAGAAUGGCAGGUGCUGUGCUGAAUGCCUGGGAAGAUGGCCCCAAUGUUCCUCCCCAAGGGAUUGCCAGUCACAUCAGCACAGCACGGGAUGGAUCCUGCUGUGCCAACACUCUCUGCAGGCUUGUGGGGACCCUGGCUGAGAUGUCUGGACACCUGGAUUUCAAUCCGGUCUUUGCCAUCCACUCCCUGUGUGGCCCUCCCCCGCAAACUAAAUAAAAAUUUCAUGAGUUGGGGAAGGAGACUCAAGGGGAAGUGAGACGAGAGGACGGAAGUGAGUUGAAGAGCAGGGAGGAGCCUGGAGCCUGGAGCCUGGGCCUCCCUGUGCUGUGAUGUGUGCCAGAGUGGAAGCGGAAGUGGAAGCAGAAGCAGAAGUGGUCCUGCCGGUAGGUGUGACUGGCCUCACAGAGCUGCCAGGAUGCACCUGAGUGCUCAAGAGGGUUUCCCACAGCCCCAGGUGGAUUGGACUCAGAAGCAUGUUUCUGAUGUGCUCAAGAGUGUGGCCCAGACAAGGCACAGAGGACAGGAGUGUCAGAGGCAUUCAAACAAGAGCGACUCCAUCCUGAACGGGGGCUGGGUAAAAUGACGCUGAGGCCUGCCAGGUUGCAUUCCCAGGAGGUUAGGCAUUCUUAAGUCACUGGAUGAGAUAGGAGAGGGGCACAAGAUACUGGUUACAAAGACCCUGCUGAUAAAACAGGUUGCAGUAAAGAAGCUCGCCCAAACCAAAAUGGCAAUGAAAGUAACCUCUGGUCAUCCUCACUGCUCAUUACACGCUAAUUAUAAUGCAUUAGGAUGCUGAAAGACACUCCCACCAGCCCCAUGACAGUUUACAAACGCCAUAGCAACAUCUGGAAGUUACUCUAUAUGACUUAAAAGGAAAAGGAACUCUCAGUUCUGGGAAAUUCCCACCCCUUUCCUGGAAAAUUCAUGAAUAAACCACUCCUUGUUUAGCAUAUGAUCAAGAAAUAACCAUAAAAGUAGCCAACCAGCAGCCCUUCGUGCUGCUCUGCCUGUAGAGUAGCCGUUGUUUUAUUCCUUUACUUUCUUCAUAAACUUGCUUCUGCUUUACUCUGUUGACUCGCUGAUUUUUCUUUCUUGAGACAGAGUCUGGCUCUAUCGCCCGGGCUGGAGUGCAGUGGCGCAAUCUCUGCUUAUUGCAACCUUCACCUCCCAGGUUCAAGCGAUUCUCCUGCCUCAGCCUCCCAAGUAGCUGGGAUUACAGGCAUGCACCACCACACCCGGCUAAUUUUUGUAUUUUUAGUAGAGACGGGGCUCUGCCAUGUUGGCCAGGCUGGUCUCGAACUCCCCACCUCAGGUGAUCUGCCCGCCUCAGCCUCCCAAAGUGCUGGGAUUACAGGCGUGAGCCACCACGCCCGCCUGGAAGAUACUCAUUUUAUGGGAAAUAAUUCCUGGGUCCAAGCAAAGUGGGAGGUAGGUUAGAAGACCCCUGCAUAAAGCUGGGAUCCCAAAGGGCUGCAUCCUCAAUAAAGUAGGGAAAAAAUGUCCACAGAGACUUGUCUGCUUCUGUCUCAACUGCAGUUGGAGCACAGGAAAGAUGGGUUUUCCCUGGAAUCUCUGGGACAAGCCCAGUUUCGUUUCUUUUCUUUUUCUUUUCUUUCUUUCUUUCUUUCUUUCUUUCUUUCUUUCUUUCUUUCUUUCUUUUUCUUUCUUUUCUUUCUCUCUCUCUCUCUCUCUUUCUUUCUUUCUUUCUUUCCUUUCUUCCUUUCUUUUCUUUUCUUUCUUUUUUUUUUUUUUUGAUGGAGUCUCACACUGUCGCCUAGGCUGGAGUGCAAUGGCGUGAUCUUGGCUCACUGCAACCUCUGCCUCCCAGGUUCAAGCGAUUCUCCUGUGUCAGCCUCCCGAGUAGCUGGGAUUACAGGCGACUGCCACCACACCCGGCUAAUUUUUUUGUAUUUUUAGUAGAGAUGGGGUUUCACUAUGUUGGCCAGGCUGGUCUUGAACUCCUGACCUCGUGAUCCACCUGCCUUGGCCUCCCAAAGUGCUGGGAUUACAGGCAUGAGCCACCACGCUCGGCCUCGACAAGCUCAGUUUCAAGUGGAUGUGGCAUCGGAAUUCACACUGCCUAUAUUGCUUCCCUCUCUGACGCCAGAAAAAAACUAACUGAAAAUAUAGUUUCAAGUGUUCCCCAGAUGCCUGAUGAAGCAAUUGUGAAGACUCCCUAGAGGAACGCAUUUUAAAUCUAGGCUUCAAAGUAUUCUCACAAAUAAACUUCCAGGAACAGGAGGUUACACUAAAACAUAUAUAUUUUAAUGCACAUAUAUGUAUAUUAAACAGAAGAGAAAAUAAGCUACAUGACAUGAGAUUCAGCAGAAACAACAUUGCUGAAUCAGACCAACAACAACCAAAGAUAUCGGAAUGAUCUGUUGUAUGUAUAACAUAAAAUAAUUAUGUGUGGUUUGCAUAAAGAAAUUAAAGAUGUGAUCAAAUGUAUGACAAAAGAAUGAGAGACUAUCAAAAGUGAUCAGGUGAAGUUGAAGCAGACCAAAUAGAAUUUCUAGAAAUGACAAAUAAGUUAAAAUUUAAAACUUAAAUUGAAAUGAAAGCCCAACACAUGAAGGGUCAAUUCUGGAAAAGAUGGAGUAAACACACUCUACAUUAUACCUACUGACUGUGAUUCUAAACUACGGACAGGAUGCAUGGGCCAGCUAGCUGAGAACUUGGAAACUGCAUAGUAGCCAAUAUAUUGGAGAAGGAAACAAGAAUUUGAAGUAUGAUUGAACUGGGGUUGAGUUUCCCAUUUAUUUUCCCCCCAGUUUUGCCUGACCUUGACUCACAUGUAGCCCAAAACCUGGAAGAGUGCACCAGGUAGGGGCAGAUAGAGCUCCAAGAGAAUAGAAAGAACUCCUUUUCUGGUUUGAGGAGCAGGAAGGUGGCUCCUAAAGAUCAGAUGUGGGAAGUUUUCCUGUUUAUGUGUUUUUUUCUCCAUCGUCUCCCACUCAAGCUGCCAGGUAGUAUUGCAAUGGAGGCAGUGGCAAUGGUGAUAGCAGCAUUAGCCAAGUAGAUGCCUAAAAUUCUUAGACAGAAAAAACUUCUCCUACCAGAAAAGCCGUGAGCCCAAGAGCAUGGGGAAAUUCCUGUUACUUCUGUCUCCACCCUCACACCCCAAUCCCUCUGCCUUCUGUUCUCCUGCUGCUUGGCCCCAGACACAGAUGCAGUUAUAAGUACAUAGCAGAGCUGGGAAAUUAAAGUCCUAGAUUUCUGGCUGAGGGACUGGAAAAGGAGGCCCCAAAGAGCCAAAAACUGAUGAGGGAGAUUGUAGAGAGGAGAGAGCAUAAAAGAGUGAUCCCAUACUUUUGUGUAUAAACUCCCAGAAUCACCUCCAAACUGUGCAGCAUGGAUCUGAUCCCAAACAAAACAUCAAAGACCUUGAGAACUAGUCUACAUAUGAAACCCAUCUGAAGAGUACUGCAAAUGGCUUUGAAAACUGAAUUGAUAUUGGUACCAGAACCCAGAGAAGGUAGGUGGAACUGGCAGCCUGGACCUAGCCUGGUCACUUGUCUGCUAAAAUUAAAAAAAAAAAAAAAUCAGCAUUCUCUUUAGGAUUUAAACAAGACCACUCACUGGUUCUGUGAGUUAAAAAAAUAAAAAUCGAGAUCCAGAGUCUCAUAACAUACUAUUCAAAAUGUCCAGGAUACAAUCUAAAAUUACUUUGGAUAUGAAAAACUAGAAAAAACUCAACUCACAAUAAAAAGACAAUCAAAUAGAUGCCAACCCUGAGACAACACAGAUGUUGAAAUUAUCAAAGACUUUAAAGCAGCUAUUAUUACCUUACUCCAAGAAGUAAGGGUGAAUACUCUGGAAUGAAUGAAAAAUAGCAAGUCCCAACAAAGAAAUAGAAGAUAUAAAAAAUAACCAAACUGAAAUUACAAAACUGAAAAAUGCAAUUUUAAAAUAAAAAAACAAUAACUGGAAAAACUAGCAGAAUGGAGAUGAGAGAACAAAGAGUCAGGGAACUUGAAUAUAGAUCAAUAGAAAUUAUCCAAUCUGAACAACAAAGAGAAAAAAGAUUGAAAAAAUUGAACAGGGUCUCAGGGACGAGAGGGACAAUACCAAAAUGUCAACUGGUCAUGUAAUCAGAGUCCUGGAAGGAAUGGAGCAACAGUGCAGUUCAGGAAAUAAUAAUUGAAAAAAAAUAACAGCUGGAAACUUCCCAGAAUUACAGCUUCAAGAAAUUCAGCAAACUUCAAACAGGGUAAACUCAAAGAAAUGCACUCUCAGGGAUAUGGUGGUUGAACUUCUUUAAACUAAGGAGAAAGAAAUCUUGAAAGUAAUUAGAGAAAAAUAUAGCAUUACUAUCAGUAUCUCAUGAGCAACCAUGGAGGCUAAAAGGAAAUGAAACAUUUUCAAAGUGCUAAAAGAAAAGAAACAUCAACUCAGAGUUCUAUAUCCAGUGAAAAUAUCCUUUAGGAAUGAUGGUGAAAUAAAGAUAUCCUCAGAUAAAGGAAAACUAAGAGACUUUGUUGCUAACAUACCUGUUCUAAAGUAAAUGCUAAAGGAAGUUUUUCAGAUGGAAGGGAGAUAAUACCAUAGUGAAACUUGGAAACACAGGAAUGAAUGAUGAACAACAGAAAUGGUAGAUUUCUGGGUAAAUAGUCUAUUCCCCUUCUCUUGAGUUAUCUAAAAUAUGAUUAAUAGUUGAAAGCAAAAAUUAUAACAUUGUUUGAUGAGGUUUUCAAGGUAGACCUAAUAUAUAAUAUAUAAGAUAGCCAUAAUGGAAAGGAAGGAGAGUAAAGGAACCUAUUUGAUGGGAAGGUUUCUAUAUUCCAUUUAAAGUAGUAAAGUAUUUCUUCUAAGUAGACAUUUCUAUUUAAUCUGAAAAGUUAAAUAUGCAUAUAGUAAUACCUAGAAAAUCCACCAAAUUUUUUUUACAAAAAAUAUAGUAAAAAAUGCAAUUUAUAAAGUAGAAUAGAAUACUAAAAAAUGUUUAAAUAACCCAAAUAAAAACAGGAAAGGGGAAACAGAGGAACAAAAACCAGAAGGAGCAAACAGAAAUAAUAAAAUGACAGACCUAAAUACAAACAUAGCAAUAAUUACAUUAAAUAUAAAUGGUCUAAACACACCAAUUAAAAGACAAAAAUUGUCAGAAUGGAUUUAAAAAACAAGAUAUAACUAUAUGCUGCCUAUAAUUAUAUUGAUAUAAAGAUAUAGAUACAUUAAAAGACUAAGAUACAUACACAAAAAACCACUGAACAGCACUCUUCAAAUAGGCAAAUUUAUGCUAUGUGAAUUAUAUCUCAAUAAAAUCAUUUAAAAAAAGACUAAGAUAAACCAUUCAAACACCAAUCAAAAGAAAGCUGGAGUGGCUAUGUUAAUAUAAGAUAAAGUAAAAUUUAAACCAAAGAAAAUUACUAGGGAUAAAAGGAGACAUUACAUAAUGAUAACAGGACCAGUUCACCAAGACAACAUAAAAAUCCUAACUGUGUAUACAUUUAAUAACAGGACUUCAAAAUGCAUGAAGCAAAAACUGAACUGAAAGGAGAAAUGGAAAAAUUCAAUUACAGUUGUAAACUUUAAUAUUCUUCUUUCAAUAAUUAAUAGAACAAGUAGAUAGAAAACAGCGAUGAUACGGAAGAUAUGAACCAUCACUGACCUGGAUGUAAUUGACAUUUUAUAGAACACUCCAUCCAACAACAGCAGAAAAUAAAUUCUGCACAGUGUAAAAGAACCUUUGGCUAGGCACAGUGGCUCAUGCCUGUAAUCCCAGACUUUGGGAGGCCGAAGCAAGUGGAUCACCUGAGGUCAGGAGUUCGAGGCCAGCCUGACCAACGUGGUGAAACCCCAUGUCUACUAAAAAUGCAAAAAUUAGCCAGGGAUGGUGGCCACAUGCUUGUAGUCCUAGCUACUCCAGAGGCUGAGGCAGGAGAAUUGCUAGAACCCGGGAGGCAGAGGUUGCAGUGAGCCGAGCUUACGCCUUUGCACUCCAGCCUGGGCAACAAGAGUGAAACUCCAUCUCAAAAAAAAAAAAAAAGAAUCUUCACCAAGAAAGACCCUAUCUUGGGUUAUAAAAGUAGUCUUCCAAAUUUAAAAUAACUGAAAUCACACAAAGUAUGUUAUCUGAUCACAAUGAAAUCAAACUAGAAACUGAAAACAGAGCAAUAACUGGAAAGUCUCUAAACACUUUUAACACAAUUUAAAAUAAUGGGUCAAAAAGAAAGUUCGUGGGAAAUUAGAAAAUAUUUUGAACUGAAUGAAAAUGAAAAAACUUCGAAAUUUGUGGGAUGCAGCUCAAGCAAUGCUUACAGGAAACCGACAGCAUUAAAUGCUUAUAUUAGAAAA